ensembl:lncRNA
AGACCUUGCAGUUAAUAUCUUCUGAAAGGAGUGAAGAAACAUCACUGGUCUUUUCAUCAUUGGUCUUUCCCAUCUCAGAAGACUGGUGUCUGAAUGACACUUAUAACCUUAAAAAAAAAAAAAAAAAACCGCCAACACUUUUUAUUCUUUACUGCCAAAUGUCAGGGUAGGUGUAAGACAUAAGGAGUCUAUGUUCCCCGAUAGGAUUCAUCCCAAGGUACUGAAAGAACUGGCUCAUGUCAUCAGAAAACCUCUCUCAAUUAUUUUUCAGUGAUACUGGGAAACUGGAGAGAUCCCCAUUGACUGGAAGCUGUCAAACAUCCUAGUUUUCAAGGAGGGCAAGAAAGAAGACCCUAGAAGUAACAGGCCAAUCAGUCACACUUCAGUGCCUGAUAAAAUAAUGGAGAAGUCUAUUCUGGGGGGUACUAAAAAGCACCUGAAAGGCAUUGUAGCCACUGGUCAUAGCCAACAUGGGUUUAUGAGGGGAAAGUACUGAUUAACUAAAUUCUUCCUGCUAUGGCAAGGUUAUCCACGUACUGGAGAAAGGGAAGUCAGCUGUUGAAUUUUAGCAAAACUUUGAAUACUCAUCACAGUACUCUUCUGGGCAAAAUGUCCAACAUACACCUAGAUACAUACAUGAGCUAAUGCAUGAACAAUCAGUCGGGCUCAAGUAAGUGGGGCCAGUCCUCUCUGAUGUUUUUAUACAUGAUGUGAAUGCAGGACUGGAAUGCAUACUAAAUAAGUUUUUUGACAGUACUAAAUUCAAAGGACCUGCUGACUCCCUUGAGGGUAGAGUGGCCUUCCAGAGGGAUCUUGAUAAAUUAGACGGCUGGACUAUCACCAACCAUAUGACAUUUAACAAGAGCAUGUUCUGGAUUCUGCGCCUGGAAUGAGGCAACCCUAGAUAUAUGGAAACCAGGGGACAAGAGGCUGGAGAGCAGUCCUGCAGAAAGUCUGGGAAUUCUGAUUGAUUGUAAGCUGAAUACGAAUCAACAGUGUGUGCUGGCAGCCUAAAAGGCCAACCGCACCCUGGGGUGCACCAGGCCCAGUGCCGCCCACUCUGCUCUUCCUGGUGUGGCCUCGCCUGGAGCACUGGGUUGGGCAUCAGAUACAAAAAGAACAUAAAGCUAUUAGCGUCCAAAGGAGGGCUAUGGAGAUGGGGAAGGGUCUGAAGGCAAGGUGUGUGAGGAGGGGCUGAGAUCCCUCGGAUGGUUCAGUGUAGAGCAGAGGGGGCUGAGGGGAGGAAUCAUGGCGGCUGCAGCUCCCACAGGGAAUGAACAGGGACAUCUCUAUUAGACAUAUGGCUUAAUUUCUAGAUAAUGAUGUGUGUAGCCAGCAGUUGGACUCAGUGAUCUUUGCAGAUCCCUUCUAGCUCAGGAUACUCCAUGAUUCUAAGUAAGUACACAGUCAUUGUUAACACUGUAUUUCUCUGAUUUAUUUUUCCACCAAAAAAUAAAUUAUAAAAGUUCCAAUUCAUUCCCUACAAGUGAAAUGCUGGUAAAUUCCAAAAAUAAACUCCUCUGCAAGAAAAGAAAAAGUAUCUGGCUGUAAUUCCAUUCGAGUGAAUCAUAUCUCCAUUUAAGUAAAAGCACAUAGGUCGAAAUAUGUUAUGAAGCAAAAUUCUAAACACAGCAUAUUUGUUUCUAUACUGAGCAAACACACGACUUAUUUAGAUAAGUAGUUCAAUUUGUGGGUGCACUCAAACAGCAACAAAAAAUGAAGCCGGGGAAUAUGUGACAUGUUGUUUUCAAAGCAAAAUAUAAACACUUGGACAUAGGCAAUUAAGCAUUUGCUAUGUUUUCUAGAUGAAUAUGCAAAUUUGACAUUCAAAUCAACGUCUAAAAAUAAUCUCACCCAUUCAAAAAACACCAAGAUCAUAAGGAGUGCAAAGUGUGAGCCUUUUUGCUUUAAUUACUUUGCCAUAAUAUCAGUUAAGGGCAAGGCACUUCAGUAGGUUAUCAUUUUCCUCCUCCCAACUGUUUCAAAAGUCAAGUCGAGUUUCUCCUGACAAAACAUGCAAUAAAUGGAAUGUUUAGAUGGAGAAUUUACAGGAGACCAGCAUGCAGAGAAUUCAUUAUAGCUAGGAGGAAGAAGCUACUGUAAGAAGGUGACUGCAUUGUUUGCAUAAUACUUUUUUCCUGCUGCAAAUUAACAGUAACUGCUGAACUGAUUUAAUAAAUUGCAUGCAUUGUCAGUACCUAAAAAGAAACAUGGAGCCAGUUCUGGAAAAAAAGAGGGUGAAAAAUAUGGUUAAAAAAAAAAGGUAAAAAAAUAAAAAAUAGGGUAAAAAAAAGUGUUACAGGAUAUAUUAUUAAGAUGUGUAUUUACCAAUACACAGACACACCACUACUUAAUGUAGAUUUACAAGAAAAAGGAAUUUGAUGACCUCUAAUUCACUGCCACUUGGCUUGUAGGACUGGCAGAGGUAAUGCACCUCCUCAUUCUCACACGAUGAUGUGCAGUUCCUUAGGUGAAACUAGGUUCCAAGUGUGGAUUCUGCACUGCCAGUUCAUGGUUCUUGCCCCAUUCAAGUACAGUUAGUGCCAUGGUUCUACUGUUUGCAUUUUCAGUAUUCUGACCUAUGAUGACAUUUUGUAAUAUUUUAUUACGAUCAUUGAACAAAAGGCAACAAAGUCCUCUACGAGACUUCAGGUCUGCUUCAGGAUCAUUUCAAGGUCUAAAAAGGAACUGUGGUGGCAAUUAGAUCUUGGAAUGGACAUCAGUGGAAGAUUUAUGUUGUUAUUCCAAGACAGUAUUCUUUUAACUUCUAGGUAUUCAACAAAUAUACACAAGUUAAUAGUAUCAGAAUAUCCUUAUUAGAUUUAAAGCAGGAAAAGGGCCAGAAGAAGUGAUAUGAGUUGAGGAAACAUUACUGUACCGCUCUUGAUUAACAGGAAGGGAAAUAAUGCACACUGAAAUAUUGAUCAGACUGUGACCACUGUGCUUGUAGGUGCUAUGAAAUGAAAGCUGAACUUAACUAUGAACGGUCUGUGCCAAAGUCCAGUAAAGUCAACCUUCUCUUUUUUUGAGGGGACAGAGUUGGUAAGACUCAAAAUCAAAUUCUCUUUGAUUUUAACUACCUCUUCUGGCUUGAAAUAACUGCAGAACAAAUUCAGUCUAGGACAUCAUGUCAGCAAAUCUCUUUAUAAAUAUGUGUGUGUGUUUAUGUAGUUACAUACAUGCAUGCAAAUAGAUGAAGGUCCACAGAUCUUACUAGCAUUUGCAGUAACAAACACUGCCAUGAAGAUACUGCUGCCUCCACACACCCUAGCAUGUUGAUCUAUCCCACUUGUGCUAUGUCUGUCUUCUGUUUUCUCUGUGAUUUUAUCAGUUCUAGAAAAUGAACAGGACUAUUACUGAGUACCUUGAAUCCCAAAGUCUAUCUAAUAGUCACUGCAGGCUUGAUGUACAGCCAUCUUCGUGAAGAAACACUUAUCUUUACAUAAACAGGCUGACCUUUCUAACUGGCAUUUUGUCAGGACUGGCUGAAGGUGGAAGGGGGAGAGAAGAGGGGAAGAGCAGUCUGUACUGCUUGUUGCUGCAGGAGAAAGUAUACUCCAAGGCAACGAGGCAAGAUGGUAUGCUUUUCAUUUUUAUAACUGCAAAAUGAAUCAUGCACAUGCCUACAUAUUUAACAGCUACUACACUUGAAAUGGGCACUUCUUUUUUCUCCACUAUCAAUAACAUCUUUCCUCUACUCCUAUUUUCCUCUGAAGAAAUUAAGAAAGCAAAGCAGGAUAAGUCAUUACUAAGAGAAAAUGACUCCACAGUUCUUUAGUUUAAACAUGACUUAAAGGUGCUGGUGGGGGGCAAAACAAUGUGAUGCAAUUGGGCUUCUGCAACGUCUCACAAAAAGAUUUUGGAAGCAUAAAACUGCCAGGCUGACAUGUGCACACAAACAUUUCACCCUUGCGCACGGUGAGAUGAGUGAGAGAAGACAAAAACCCUCUUGAUCAAGAAGGCCAACAGAAAUGACAGUCUCGUGAAGAGUGUAUGUCACACAAUGGGCAAGUGCCACUGUAAUAUUGUCUGCCACCCCAUCUUGCCCAAUGUAUACAUCACAUGGUCUACGUGAUCACUUUGCUUACUGAUCUUGGGAGGCACAGUGCAAACGUGACCAGGUUGCCUUGCUCUCUCAUUGGGAUGCCAGAGCCCCUUGUUCAUCUGCAGCGUGUUCCCUGUCAGCGGCUAGAUUUUGAUUUAUUAAUACCAAGCUCUCAGGCUAACCGUACCUAUGGAAAGACGUGUUCAUCAGCCAUAAACACACGUCUGCUUACAGUACACGUAUGCAGGAGAGUGACAGAGCUGGAGAGGUAGCAAGGAGGAUCAUGCUCCACGAACGCUGACGCUGCCUCCCCUCCCUUACAUACCCCUUGAAAUUCAGCACAUAACUCUGGAGCCACUAUGGGAGGAAAAGGGAGAUUUCUUCCACCAAGCCAGAUCGUGAUUUCCAUACAAAGAGUCGAGAAGCGCCAAAAAAGGGGGGAGCGAAUAGGGAUGCUUCCCUUAGACAGGACGGGGAGGGGGGGGGCGCGAAUGCUCAGCAGGAACGCUGCCCAUCCCUACCCUCCGCCACCGGACAACAGCUUUCUGCCGCGAUGUCCGCCGCUCCGAGGCGCUCCGAGACGCCGCUCCGCCUCGCACGGCUCCGCCGGCCCUUUGGCUGCGGGUUGCGGGCAGCAGACGGGCGCCGGCGGGGAGAAGCGGCUACGGGGGGACUGUCUGCGCGAAGGAGGGAAAAAAGCACAAAUCCAGCAAGCCAGCAGCGAAACCAGAGGGAUCUGAGACAAAGGCUUCGCCCAGGACAGGGGAGAGGCGGAAAGCAGGGCUCCUCUUACCGCUCGGUACCGCCGCCGCGGCUCGCUGGAUGGCGGCUGCAGGAGGAGGAGGAGCGGCCGCCGCGCCGCCCAGCAGCCG